AGCGAACGCUGGCGGCAGGCCUAACACAUGCAAGUCGAACGAACCCUUCGGGGUUAGUGGCGGACGGGUGAGAAGCACGUGGGAACGUGCCUUUAGGUUCGGAAUAACUCAGGGAAACUUGUGCUAAUACCGAAUGUGCCCUUCGGGGGAAAGAUUUAUCGCCUUUAGAGCGGCCCGCGUCUGAUUAGCUAGUUGGUGAGGUAAUGGCUCACCAAGGCUACGAUCAGUAGCUGGUCUGAGAGGAUGACCAGCCACAUUGGGACUGAGACACGGCCCAAACUCCUACGGGAGGCAGCAGUGGGGAAUCUUGCGCAAUGGGCGAAAGCCUGACGCAGCCAUGCCGCGUGGAUGAUGAAGGUCUUAGGAUUGUAAAAUCCUUUCACCGGUGGAGAUAAUGACUGUAGCCGGAGAAGAAGCCCCGGCUAACUUCGUGCCAGCCGCCGCCGUAAUAC
rnacentral:rRNA from 1 species